AGGGGGUCAUCCCGACUUACCAACCCGAUGCAAACUGCGAAUACCGGAGAAUGUUAUCACGGGAGACACACGGCGGGUGCUAACGUCCGUCGUGAAGAGGGAAACAACCCAGACCGCCAGCUAAGGUCCCAAAGUCAUGGUUAAGUGGGAAACGAUGUGGGAAGGCCCAGACAGCCAGGAUGUUGGCUUAGAAGCAGCCAUCAUUUAAAGAAAGCGUAAUAGCUCACUGGUCGAGUCGGCCUGCGCGGAAGAUGUAACGGGGCUAAACCAUGCACCGAAGCUGCGGCAGCGACGCUGAUGCGUUGUUGGGUAGGGGAGCGUUCUGUAAGCCUGCGAAGGUGUGCUGUGAGGCAUGCUGGAGGUAUCAGAAGUGCGAAUGCUGACAUAAGUAACGAUAAAGCGGGUGAAAAGCCCGCUCGCCGGAAGACCAAGGGUUCCUGUCCAACGUUAAUCGGGGCAGGGUGAGUCGACCCCUAAGGCGAGGCCGAAAGGCGUAGUCGAUGGGAAACAGGUUAAUAUUCCUGUACUUGGUGUUACUGCGAAGGGGGGACGGAGAAGGCUAUGUUGGCCGGGCGACGGUUGUCCCGGUUUAAGCGUGUAGGCUGGUUUUCCAGGCAAAUCCGGAAAAUCAAGGCUGAGGCGUGAUGACGAGGCACUACGGUGCUGAAGCAACAAAUGCCCUGCUUCCAGGAAAAGCCUCUAAGCAUCAGGUAACAUCAAAUCGUACCCCAAACCGACACAGGUGGUCAGGUAGAGAAUACCAAGGCGCUUGAGAGAACUCGGGUGAAGGAACUAGGCAAAAUGGUGCCGUAACUUCGGGAGAAGGCACGCUGAUAUGUAGGUGAAGUCCCUUGCGGAUGGAGCUGAAAUCAGUCGAAGAUACCAGCUGGCUGCAACUGUUUAUUAAAAACACAGCACUGUGCAAACACGAAAGUGGACGUAUACGGUGUGACGCCUGCCCGGUGCCGGAAGGUUAAUUGAUGGGGU
rnacentral:rRNA from 1 species